rnacentral:rRNA from 1 species
UACAGAGGGUGCGAGCGUUGUCCGGAAUCACUGGCGUAAAGGGCGCGUAGGCGGCUCAGUAAGGUUGCGGUGAAAGCCCGGGGCUCAACCCCGGGUCGGCCGUGGCAACUGCUGGGCUGGAGCACUGUAGAGGCAGGUGGAAUUCCGGGUGUAGCGGUGGAAUGCGUAGAGAUCCGGAAGAACACCGGUGGCGAAGGCGGCCUGCUGGGCAGUAGCUGACGCUGAUGCGCGAGAGCGUGGGGAGCAACAGGAU